UGGGGAAUCUUGGACAAUGGGCGCAAGCCUGAUCCAGCCAUGCCGCGUGGAUGAUGAAGGCCUUAGGGUUGUAAAAUCCUUUCGUUGGGGACGAUAAUGACGGUACCCAAAGAAGAAGCUCCGGCUAACUUCGUGCCAGCAGCCGCGGUAAUACGAAGGGGGCUAGCGUUGUUCGGAUUUACUGGGCGUAAAGCGCGUGUAGGCGGAUUUGUAAGUUGGGGGUGAAAUCCCGAGGCUCAACCUCGGAACUGCCUCCAAAACUACAAGUCUGGACCUAAGUAGAGGCAAGUGGAAUUGCGAGUGUAGAGGUGAAAUUCGUAGAUAUUCGCAGGAACACCAGUGGCGAAGGCGACUUGCUGGACUUAUGGUGACGCUGAGACGCGAAAGCGUGGGGAGCAAACAGGAUUAGAUACCCCCGUAGUCCCUGAGCGGGCUGGCAAGGCGCAU
rnacentral:rRNA from 1 species